rnacentral:rRNA from 1 species
AACGAACGCUGGCGGCAUGCUUUACACAUGCAAGUCGAACGGCAGCACGGGGGCGAACCCUGGUGGCGAGUGGCGAACGGGUGAGUAAUGCAUCGGAACGUACCCAGUCGUGGGGGAGUAACGCAGCGAAAGUUGUGCUAAUACCGCAUACGACCUGAGGGUGAAAGCGGGGGACCGUAAGGCCUCGCGCGAUUGGAGCGGCCGAUGUCUGAUUAGCUAGUUGGUGGGGUAAAGGCCCACCAAGGCGACGAUCAGUAGCGGGUCUGAGAGGAUGAUCCGCCACACUGGGACUGAGACACGGCCCAGACUCCUACGGGAGGCAGCAGUGGGGAAUUUUUGGACAAUGGGGGCGAACCCUGAUCCAGCCAUGCCGCGUGCGGGAAGAAGGCCUCGG